CAGGAUGAACGCUGGCGGUCUGCUUAACACAUGCAAGUCGAACGGGCUCUUCGGAGCUAGUGGCGGACGGGUGAGUAACGCGUGAGGAUCUGCCUUCAGGAGGGGGAUAACGACUGGAAACGGUCGCUAAUACCGCAUAUGCCUACGGGUGAAAGAUUUAUCGCCUGGAGAUGAACUCGCGUCAGAUUAGCUAGUUGGUGGGGUAAGAGCCUACCAAGGCGACGAUCUGUUGCUGGUCUGAGAGGAUGAUCAGCCACACUGGGACUGAGACACGGCCCAGACUCCUACGGGAGGCAGCAGUGGGGAAUUUUCCGCAAUGGGCGCAAGCCUGACGGAGCAAGACCGCGUGCGGGAUGACGGCCUAAUGGUUGUAAACCGGUUUUCUCUGGGAAGAUGAUGACGGUACCAGAGGAAUCAGCCUCGGUUAAACUCCGUGCCAGCAGCCGCGGUAAUACGGAGGAGGCAAGCGUUAUCCGGAAUUAUUGGGCGUAAAGCGUCCGUAGGUGGUUAUUCAAGUCUGCUGUCAAAGCGUGGGGCUUAACUCCAUAGAG
rnacentral:rRNA from 1 species